rnacentral:rRNA from 1 species
UACGUAGGGCGCAAGCGUUAUCCGGAAUUAUUGGGCGUAAAGAGCUCGUAGGCGGUUUGUCGCGUCUGCCGUGAAAGUCCGGGGCUCAACUCCGGAUCUGCGGUGGGUACGGGCAGACUAGGGUGAUGUAGGGGAGACUGGAAUUCCUGGUGUAGCGGUGAAAUGCGCAGAUAUCAGGAGGAACACCGGUGGCGAAGGCGGGUCUCUGGGCCGAUACUGACGCUGAGGAGCGAAAGCGUGGGGAGCGAACAGG